rnacentral:rRNA from 1 species
AUAUCAGUCAUGUAUAGCAUAUCAAUAAGCGGAGGAAAAGAAACUAACAAGGAUUCCCUUAGUAACGGCGAGUGAAGCGGGAAGAGCUCAAAUUUGAAAUCCUCAAGGUUUUACCUUGACGAAUUGUAGUUUAAAGAAGUGUUUUCUGUUGAAGUUUUGGUAAAAGUUCUUUGGAAUAGGACAUCAUAGAGGGUGAGAAUCCCGUAUUUGACCAUUACUUUCAGCUUUGUGAUACACUUUCAAAGAGUCGGAUUGUUUGGGAAUGCAGUCCAAAAUGGGUGGUAAAUUUCAUCUAAAGCUAAAUAUUGGCGAGAGACCGAUAGCGAACAAGUACCGUGAGGGAAAGAUGAAAAGAACUUUGAAAAGAGAGUUAAACAGUACGUGAAAUUGUCAAAAGGGAAGCGUUUGACACCAGUGUUGUUUUCUCGAAAAUCAAUUAAAAAGAGUUGGAUUUUGUGUUGUAUUGACUUUAUCAGCUUUCUUCACUCUUUUCCAGCUUUUUUUAAUGCACUUUUCGUUUAACAAGUCAACAUCAGUUUCUUUUGUUGUAAAAAGGUCAUUGGAAGGUGGCUUUCUCUUCGGAGAAAGUGUUUAUAGCCUUUGACUCAUGCAAUCGGAGAGACUGAGGUCUGCAGCGUAGAUCCUUCGGGGUUAGAUACAUUUGUGCUAAGUUAUAGCUUUUCAUAGACAACUUGUUGACUAUGUUUAGUCUUGUAGCUUACUCGCUUAUGCUAUUUUACCUACGCUUAGGAUGUUGAACUCUAUCACACACAG